rnacentral:misc_RNA from 1 species
CCGACACCCGUAUGCUACACACGAAAUCUACUUUCAAAAAAAAAUCAUUCCUACCUCCUCCACCUAUCCAAUUAACCAGAAAAAAAGAAAAGAAAUUGAACUAGAAAAAAGAUUAGCAAAAAGAGCUUUUUGAGAAAACAUCAUAGCUCUUGACAAAAUUUCUGUUCACCUUAACAAUAAAUCAUUUUAAAUGUCGAUUCAAAUAAAUUAUACUAAGCUACUACUCUUCAAGCUGUAGCAGAAUAGCGAGGAGCCGGGCCUUUGGCUGUUCCAUUAGACAUUCCACCACCACGACUCAUUCGCCCACCUGUAUUGUCAGCUCGCCGAUAUCCUUCACCUCCACGGUUUGAUGAACCCCCACGAUUCCCACCCCUGUUAUUGAACUCAUUUCUUCCAUGGAAAUCAUCUCGACCAUAACCCCUGCCACCUAAAUAGUUUCCUCGCCCUCUUCCUCCAACAUCGUUCCUGAAUCCACCGCCCCUUCCAGAUUGAAACCUACCACCACCUCUGGCAUUAAGUCGAGAAUUGGUAGACCUCUUUUCCUCGACCACUGCUUGCCGAUCACCAAUGAGAACUGGAGAAGCCUCGAUUGCUUUUUGCACAGCACUUUCCACUUCAAAUUCCACGAAUCCAAAACAAAAUCCCUGUUGCCUGUUACUUCUCACUUGAAUUCCUCCAUUUUUUAUUGGCCCAAACUUCUUGAACUCAUCCGCAAGUAAUGCCACAGUUGCACUCAUAGGCAGGCCUUUUAUAUAGAUUGAGUAGCCAUCAGCUUCUGUGUCAUUUAUGUUAUCAAUGGUCUCUGAGCUGGAAUAUGGGCCAUCAGUUGUUGUGGCAGCAGGCUGAUUCACUUGCACAACACUCUUUGUCAUAGGCUUCCUAGCAGCAGGUGCUGGAGGAGGGGAGAAGGUUGCAGCACUUUCCUUGAGAUGCAUGACAAUUGAAGCAUAUGACUUCUUAGGAACUUCCCCAGUUUUGUUGUCAGAUUCCGCUACCACUUCAGAGCCAUCUUGGACUUCAUGGACGACCUCAGACACAGGCACUUCCUCCUCAACAAUAAGCACAUCACCAUUCUCAGAUGGGUUGUAAACUUCUCCCACGUCAGCUUCCUCUGCUGGUGGAGUGCUUUGCUCAGGAAUGUGAUUCUGUGGUGCUGUAGGUGGAUCUGCAACAAUUUGCUCUGGUGUGACAGGAGCCACAGCAUCAGUUACUGGAACCUGGACUGUAUCAUGCUGACUGGCAGUCUCUACAUAUCGAAACAUAUCAUUCAAGACAAAGUACCCCCUAUCUUGUGGUGCUAGGAAGAAAGUUUGACAGAAAUUCCGGACCAAGUUGUCUUUCCCAGUCAAAUAUCCAGUUACAAGGACAUGCACCCCGCCAUUAAAGGAUUCUUGGGCAUCCACAGACUUGAUCUCUGCUCUGAGAUCUCCAUAGUUGAGUGAGAGUAUCUUAUCAUUUAUUGCUUGCAUUGUCGUAGUGAUACCCAUGGAUCCAUCCUCUUCAGGACGUCCAAGCUUGCUUAUAUCCUGGUAAAACCUGAAUACAAGCCCCGGCGAAUGAUGCAAUAUAUGAUAGUAUUGCUGCACAAAAGCAUUCGCAACAACUUGAGCAGAAACUGGUGCUACUGCCGCUACUGCUACUGCUGCUUCCGCUGCCAUCGUCAAUCAAUCGAACUCCUGUUUAUAGCACUGGAUUUAUAUCGGAUCAGAUAAGUGGAAAGAGAGAAAGCUUGAUGUACAGUCGGUGAGUUUCUCUCUCUUCGUGUGUUUCUCUCUCUAGAUGCGGA